CCGGUGACCUGUUCGGCGUGACCGGUGUGGGUGUUGGCGAGGCCGUUGUGGGCGCACAAUCCUUGCCGUUCAGCGCGAUCGGCUGCUGGGGCCGUGGGGGACGCAUCGCUCCGCCAGAAGCAUUUCCUAGAUGCGCUUUCCCGCUCUCUUUCGCUGGGUGAUUGGCACGCAUCAAUACUCCUUUGUCUCUCUGGGGCGUUAUUGCAGAGUGAGGCCGUGAUACAUUGUUGGCCCGUAUUCAGCCACUGUUCCCUGGAUCUGCGCUGCUGUUUUGGCUCCGUUUAAUUUGUGGAUGCUGUCAGGACUCGCUGUCGGGACUCCAACUCGUGUGAUCUAUUAAUAGAUAUGUCCCGCCCUGAGCUAACGUGAAUGGUGAUGAGACUGACAGUGUUAAGGGACACACAUUGUUUAAAUGUGCUAUAUGUAGUUUAUUACUUUGUAUUAUUUUGUGUUUAUUUGUAUUUUUGGUAUUCUUAAUUAUUUUGGUUUCCUCCAUACCAGUCCUGUGUAGCACCAUUGGCAUGGUUUGAAUGUGUUUCUUGUUUUUGGUUAGGUGCUGUGGCCCAGAGGCGGCAGUCCUAUCCUUGGUGGUGGUCCCCUUAACGAUUUCCUUUUGCUUUUGAUGUGUGUGCAGUGUCACAGGUGUUUUAAGUAACGGACCCUUCCACUUUUGAUUUGUCCCUGCCAUCUGGUAAGCUCCAGCCCUUUCCCUUGAUUUUUAUUCUUGCU